UACCUCAAAAUUCCACAACAGUCUGUUUCAUCUGUAAAGAAUCAUACCACCUGAUGAUUCUUUACAGGUGAAACAGACUGUUGCAGAAUUU
rnacentral:miRNA from 1 species